UACAGAGGUCCCGAGCGUUGUUCGGAUUCAUUGGGCGUAAAGGGUGCGUAGGCGGUGUCGCAAGUCGGAUGUGAAAUCCCGGGGCUCAACCCCGGAACUGCAUUCGAUACUGCGGUGCUAGAGGACUCUAGAGGAAACUGGAAUUCACGGUGUAGCAGUGAAAUGCGUAGAUAUCGUGAGGAAGACCAGUGGCGAAGGCGGGUUUCUGGAGAGUUCCUGACGCUGAGGCACGAAGGCCAGGGGAG
rnacentral:rRNA from 1 species